rfam:Equus caballus chromosome 10, whole genome shotgun sequence.
CCACAGGAUUUUCUUAAAUCCACCUUGGUCUAUUUUUAGGAAAUA